rnacentral:rRNA from 1 species
GGGGGGUGCGAGCGUUGUCCGGAAUCACUGGGCGUAAAGGGCGCGUAGGUGGCUUGGCAAGCGCGUGGUGAAAGCCCGGGCUCAACCCCGGGUCUGCCGUGCGAACUGCUAUGGCUUGAGCACUGUAGAGGCAGGUAGAAUUCCGGGUGUAGCGGUGGAAUGCGUAGAGAUCCGGAAGAAUACCGGUGGCGAAGGCGGCCUGCUGGGCAGUGGCUGACACUGAGGCGCGACAGCGUGGGGAGCAAACAGGAUUAGAUACCCUGGUAGUCCACGCCGUAAACGAUGGGCACUAGGUGCUUGGGGGAGCGACCCUCUGAGUGCCGUCGCUAACGCAGUAAGUGCCCCGCCUGGGGAGUACGGCCGCAAGGCUG